rnacentral:tRNA from 1 species
CGGCCCGUUUCCGAACGGGUCAUCGCCUCGGCUUCCGGCGUCGAGGCGGGAGGCUGCUCGUGGGGCGGCUUCGGUUCCGGUCUGGUCUGGCGGC